rnacentral:tRNA from 1 species
CGAAACAUAGCUUAACUAAAGCCCCCUGCUUACACCAAGGAAAUGUCCGGUAACAACGGACUGUAUCGAG